rnacentral:rRNA from 1 species
AUACGUAGGGGGCGAGCGUUAUCCGGAAUUACUGGGCGUAAAGGGUGCGUAGGCGGCCCUUCAAGUCAGAGGUGAAAGGCUACGGCUCAACCGUAGUAAGCCUUUGAAACUGUAGGGCUUGAGUGCAGGAGAGGAGAGUGGAAUUCCCAGUGUAGCGGUGAAAUGCGUAGAUAUUGGGAGGAACACCAGUUGCGAAGGCGGCUCUCUGGACUGUAACUGACGCUGAGGCACGAAAGCGUGGGGAGCGAACAGGAUUAGAUACCCUGGUAGUCCACGCCGUAAACGAUGAGUACUAGGUGUCGAGGGUUACCCCCCUCGGUGCCGCAGCUAACGCAUUAAGUACUCCGCCUGGGGAGUACGUGCGCAAGCAUGAA